rnacentral:piRNA from 1 species
UAGAAUGGUGGCCAGACGAGAGAUACGAUA